CCUACGGGAGGCAGCAGUGAGGAAUAUUGGUCAAUGGACGCAAGUCUGAACCAGCCAUGCCGCGUGCAGGAAGACGGCUCUAUGAGUUGUAAACUGCUUUUGUACGAGGGUAAACUCAGAUACGCGUAUCUUUCUGAAUGUACCUUACGAAUAAGGAUCGGCUAACUCCGUACCAGCAGCCGCGGUAAUACGGAGGAUUCAAGCGUUAUCCGGAUUUAUUGGGUUUAAAGGGUGCGUAGUCGGUCGGAUAAGUUAGAGGUGAAAUCCCGAGGCUCAACUUCGGAAUUGCCUCUGAUACUGUUAGGCUAGAGAGUAGUUGCGGUAGGCGGAAUGUAUGGUGUAGCGGUGAAAUGCUUAGAGAUCAUACAGAACACCGAUUGCGAAGGCAGCUUACCAAGCUACGUCUGACGUUGAGGCACGAAAGCGUGGGGAGCAAACAGGAUUAGAUACCCGAGUAGUC
rnacentral:rRNA from 1 species